rnacentral:rRNA from 1 species
AAUGGGGUAAACCCUGACGCAGCAACGCCACGUGAGUGAUGAAGGCCUUCGGGUCGUAAAGCUCUGUCAGAGGGAAAGAAAUGUGGGCGGCUAAUAUCCGUUCCACUUGACGGUACCUCCGAAGGAAGCACCGGCUAACUCCGUGCCAGCAGCCGCGGUAAUACGGAGGGUGCAAGCGUUGUUCGGAAUUAUUGGGCGUAAAGCGCGUGUAGGCGGUUUCUUAAGUCUGAUGUGAAAGCCCCGGGCUCAACCUAGGAAGUGCAUUGGAAACUAGGAGACUUGAGUACGGGAGAGGGUAGUGGAAUUCCUAGUGUAGGAGUGAAAUCCGUAGAUAUUAGGAGGAACACCGGUGGCGAAGGCGGCUACCUGGACCGAUACUGACGCUGAGGCGCGAAAGCGUGGGGAGCAAA